UACGUAGGGUGCAAGCGUUGUCCGGAAUUAUUGGGCGUAAAGAGCUCGUAGGCGGUCUGUCGCGUCUGCUGUGAAAACUCAGGGCUUAACCCUGAGCUUGCAGUGGGUACGGGCAGACUAGAGUGCGGUAGGGGAGACUGGAAUUCCUGGUGUAGCGGUGAAAUGCGCAGAUAUCAGGAGGAACACCAGUGGCGAAGGCGACUCUCUGGUCUGUAACUGACGCUGAGGCGCGAAAGCGUGGGGAGCAAACAGG
rnacentral:rRNA from 1 species